AACAAUUCAAAUUUAAUUUAAUUAAUGCAGUUUUGCUGAUAAAGUGAACAUCUUUUAGCUAUUUUUUGAGUAUAUUUAUUGCAGUGUAAAUAGAAUUUUCUGACUAGGCAUGUCACUGACAAAGUAGCUUAUUUUAAAAAGAAAACAUGCAAAAUUACCAUUUUCUUCAAGUUGUAUCCUUCAAAUACAGUGGAAUUCUUUUUCAUAAUGUUGUGGAGAUGGGGGAAUUCGUGGCCUAGUGGUUGUGGGUUCAAGUCUCAGGCCGGCAAUACCACGACUGAGGUGUCCUUGAGCAAGACACCGAACCCCCAACUGCUCCCCGGGCGCCACAGCAUAAAUGAUACCCACUGCUCCGGGUGUGUGUUCACGGUGUGUGUGUAUGUGUGUGUGUGUGUGUGUGUGUGUGUUCAC
ensembl:lncRNA